rnacentral:lncRNA from 1 species
CUGUGAAACUAUGGUAUACAAUAUAGUACUAAACCUUAAAAAAGCAGGAAAUCCUGCCAUUUGCAACACAUGGAUGGACUUAGAGGACAUUUAGCUAAGUAAAAUAAGUGAUAGAAAGACAAAUAUUGUAUGACUUAUAUGUGGAGUCUAAACAAGUCUAACUCAUAGAAGCAGAAAGUAGAAUCAUAGUUGCCAGGGGUUAGAGGGUGGAGGGAAUAGGGAGGUGUUGGUCAAAGGGAACAAAGUUUCAGUUUUACUGGAAUUUUUCAAUUAUAUGAACAAAUUCCCUUUAAUUGCUUAAACUAGUUUAAACUAUGUUUCCUGUCACUUGUAAUGAUACACUGGAGCCAGGAUUUGAACUCAGCUCUGCAUGACUCCCAAAGUUUAUGCUAUAAUCCAUAAGCUAAAGUGCUUCUCAAUGGGUGUUAUACUGAGGACAGAGGAAGUUCAAGGAAAUCUUCACCAAUAACUAGUGACUUACAAGUAAAACAUACUCUGUAAUUUCCUUCUCUUUUAAUAAUGAGAAAAUUGUCUUGUAUGAAUUCAAAUGCAUCCGAUGUAACCAUUUAUUGAUGAAGUGCAAAAGUAUUAAGUAUCUUUCUCAAAGUGAUAACCUAUAUUAUGGAUGAAUUUUCCAUUACAAAUACCAUUAUAAAUUUUCUGUAAACUUGAGGCAUAUUUUACUUAAAAGUCUCAAGUAAAGAAAGAUCUCAAUGUCAUUCUCUUCUUUGUCUAAAAACAAUCAUGAUAAGUGACGAUUUUUUUCCCUAGAUCAAAUUAUGUAAACGUUUCUUGAUGGGAGUUAGACAUAUAGCCCAUUUGUUUUACCUCUCUUCUUUCUAGUGCCAAAUCAAUAUAUUCUAGUGAUGAGACAAAUGACUCUUUUCUCCUCCUCCCUCUGUUAAAAGGAAAUCACUUCACCUGAUUCAGACUCUGGACCUAAGGCACAUCUAAGCCAUGAGGAUAAAUUGGAAUCAAAGGGAAAAGGACUGUUCUCAAAUACACAACUCUUAGCAGGACUGAUGAAAGAUUCCUUUUUCAUUUGGCACAUGGAGAAUUUGCUACUCCUUAUGCUGGAUGAAAACAUAGCGCCACCGAAUUUCAGAACUUCAUUGCUGCUUUGAGCACCAGUUCUACCUCCAAGGAGGCCGAAGGGAUGCUAAAUAGUAUUUUUCACAGUUGAAGACUCCAUUUCACCUUGAUAUCCCUUAAGCGUAAUGACAGUUCUCCGUUUAGACCAAUUUAAGUAUGGAAGUUGGGAGGGAGCAGAGGGAAGCUACAGAAACUUUGCAGGGAGGAGUAGAGGCGAGAGGCCAAUACUUAUUUAUGCAAAAGGCCAGCGGACGCUUAAUUGCUUGGAGGCUUAUGUCUCAAUUUUAACUUUAUAUCCUUACCUGGGGAAAAGGAGAAUAGCAUUCAUUCAUCUGCCUAUUUAUUGAAAGUCUUCCAUGAGCAAUCACUAUAAGUGGGGGUAAAUAGAGUGGAGGUUUAGAGAGCUAGAGUGGAAAAGAAGAAGAAAAACUCAACACAAGAUUAAAAUGUGGCCUCUAUCCUUAAGAAAUAACAAUGAAGUGGGAAAAUGAAACGAAUAAACUUUUAAAAAAUUAAUUGAGCAGCAAGUGUUCAGAGGAGUUGAAAGUUCAAAAGGAGUCUUUGUUAUUUCUGUUACCCCAAUCCCAUCACACACACACAUUCACCCACCAAUACUUUACAGCUGUGCCAGGCCUCGGAUUGGUACCUUUUAUGUUCUCAAUAUGCUCUCUGA